rnacentral:rRNA from 1 species
GAGUUUGAUCCUGGCUCAGAUUGAACGCUGGCGGCAUGCCUUACACAUGCAAGUCGAGCGGCAGCAUGAUCUAGCUUGCUAGAUUGAUGGCGAGUGGCGAACGGGUGAGUAAUACAUCGGAACGUGCCCUGUAGUGGGGGAUAACUAGUCGAAAGAUUAGCUAAUACCGCAUACGACCUGAGGGUGAAAGUGGGGGACCGCAAGGCCUCAUGCUAUAGGAGCGGCCGAUGUCUGAUUAGCUAGUUGGUGGGGUAAAGGCCCACCAAGGCGACGAUCAGUAGCUGGUCUGAGAGGACGAUCAGCCACACUGGGACUGAGACACGGCCCAGACUCCUACGGGAGGCAGCAGUGGGGAAUUUUGGACAAUGGGCGAAAGCCUGAUCCAGCAAUGCCGCGUGUGUGAAGAAGGCCCUCGGGUUGUAAAGCACUUUUGUCCGGAAAGAAACGGCUCUGGUUAAUACCUGGGGUCGAUGACGGUACCGGAAGAAUAAGGACCGGCUAACUACGUGCC